UACGUAGGUGGCAAGCGUUGUCCGGAUUUACUGGGCGUAAAGAGCGCGCAGGCGGUCGUUCAAGUCGCGUGUGAAAGCCCCCGGCUCAACUGGGGAGGGUCACGCGAUACUGAUCGACUCGAAGGCAGGAGAGGGAAGUGGAAUUCCCGGUGUAGUGGUGAAAUGCGUAGAUAUCAAGCGGAACACCAGUGGCGAAGGCGAGUCCCUGGACAACUCCUGACACUGAGGCACGAAAGCUAGGGGAGCAAACAGG
rnacentral:rRNA from 1 species